UGGGAAGUUUACCAGGUAGAAUGCUUUGGAC
rnacentral:piRNA from 2 species